rnacentral:rRNA from 1 species
AUGGGAGAGAAAAGCUUAGUAAAAGGUGGUGAGAGGCGUCUGCAACGGUCGCCGAGUGGCAUCAUUGGGGGUCUUUGUAGGUUAAAUUAUCCUGGACUAGUCACUUUGCCGAACGGUAUCAUUGAGCCAGCUUGGUCAUGGGAUCACUACAAACUUGCACCAUAUUUCCUGGAUAUGCGUCAGAGGGUUUAUGAUAACAGAGCCAUGCGAGUGGUCAACGAUUUCUGGGAUUUCUAUACAUGCGUUGAGGGUCAGAAGGAUCGUGCAAAUGUGGUGGUCGAGAAUAUUGCCAAGAAACUAGUCCACGACAUGCACUAUGAGGAGCGCGUUCGGUUAGUGGUCAAGUAUCACGCGGACUAUCUCAACCAUAGGAGUUCCAAACAGGAGGCUCGAGGGACGCAUCUUUCACGGGACAAUUACUUCAAGCCGUGCUGGGAGAAGAUCGUCGAACGGUGGACAGAUCCAGGGUGGCAGGAUGAACACAAAGUAAUAUCUGAACGGCGUAAGUUGAUGGGGGGUCGAGGACACCGUCAAGGCAACCUCACCAUCCCAGAAAGAAGACACUGGCAAGGAUAUCACUUACUUCGAGGCAUGGACCAUCAAACGUACCAAAGACGACAAGGACAAGGACCCUCUCCACCCGGAGAGGGACUGGAUCAGCUCUAA